rnacentral:lncRNA from 1 species
UGGGCCCUUUUCACAUCAAAAGUGUAUUAUUAUGUCUGUCCUUCUAUAGACUCUUCAUCAUUGACUAGGAUAGAAUAUGAUUUUUUUUUCUAACACACCUUAAAUUUUUAAAUUUAGUGUCCUUUUGUUACCAGCAUCUUCCACUGUUCAAACAAAGCUGUUUCUUAUGUAGGAAAUUCUAAAUGGCAGCUGGGAACUGUCCAUAGAUGAAACUUGGGUGAAUAAUCAGGUGGUGGCUGCUGAUGCAUUUGAACUUGGGCCAAGUCAGAGAGGAGGGUUCCUUGGGGUAGUGUUGUCCUCUACAUUUCCCCAUCCUGGACCAUAGCCUUUUUGACCUCACCUUAGCUAUGCAUUUGUUAUCAGGACAAUGAGUUGACAAGGGAGAAAAGAAUGGCUGAGGGCUGGUUCAGAAAUACAUGCUUUGAAAAAAAAGUUCAGAUGCCCAAAUAGCAGGGAAUCCAUUUAUAAUCACUUUCCUCCCAAUGGUUCUAUGCUGUCAGUAGUACCUUUAGAGCAUGAUUAUUUUUUCCAUAUUACAGAGGAUAAGUUGAAGCUCCCAGAAGGAUUUCCUUUGCUCCAGGACACUCAGCUGGUAAGCAGGAGAGUUCUGAUUCAACAAUCAGCAGAAUGUAUAACUUGGAUAAUAAAGCAUCCCAUGGAAGGACCUGGAUGGAAUCUUGGAUCUGUCAACUAUUUGCUGUAUGACCUUAGAUGGGACUGCCUGGAAGGAUCAAACUCCUUAAGAAUGAGAGCUGUUUAAAAAUGGAAAAUCCCAUCCCCCUCCAGAGGUAGGUAGGGAGAUGCUCCAUCCCUGGAAGUCUCCAAGCACUUCUUUUAUUUUUU